UACGGGGGGAGCAAGCGUUGUUCGGAUUUACUGGGCGUAAAGAGCGUGUAGGCGGCCAGUUAGGUCCGUUGUGAAAACUCGAGGCUCAACCUCGAGACGCCGAUGGAAACCAACUGGCUAGAGUCCGGAAGAGGAGAGUGGAAUUCCCGGUGUAGCGGUGAAAUGCGCAGAUAUCGGGAAGAACACCCGUGGCUAAGGCGGCUCUCUAGUACGGUACUGACGCUGAGACGCGAAAGCGUGGGGAGCGAACAGG
rnacentral:rRNA from 1 species